rnacentral:rRNA from 1 species
GACGAACGCUGGCGGCGUGCUUAACACAUGCCAGUCGUACGGUAAGGCCCUUUCGGGGGUACACGAGUGGCGAACGGGUGAGUAACACGUGAGUAACCUGCCCACAACUUUGGGAUAACGCUAGGAAACUGGUGCUAAUACUGGAUAUGUUCUCCUGCUGCAUGGUGGGGGUUGGAAAGCUCCGGCGGUUGUGGAUGGACUCGCGGCCUAUCAGCUUGUUGGUGGGGUAGUGGCCUACCAAGGCGGCGACGGGUAGCCGGCCUGAGAGGGUGACCGGCCACAUUGGGACUGAGGUACGGCCCAGACUCCGACGGGAGGCAGCAGUGGGGAAUAUUGCACAAUGGGCGCAAGCCUGAUGCAGCAACGCCGCGUGCGGGAUGACGGCCUUCGGGUUGUAAACCGCUUUCAGCAGGGACGAAGCUUUUUGUGACGGUACCUGCAGAAGAAGCACCGGCUAACUACGUG